CAGAGGGCGUCUUUUAACACAAGACAACUCCUGUAACCUACAAAGACGCAGGCGCGGCGCCUUUACCGUAAAUCGAUGAAUCAGGCCCACUGUACAAUAUACAUGUUCCAAAAUAGUGUACUGAUAGAUGGCUGCGUCUGAACCAGUGGUUAUAUCAUUGCUACUUAAAGGGGAAAUUCUACUCUUUUAUAAAUUAGUAAAACUAAUUAUUUACUUUGUGCCUCACAAUUUAGCCGCUUUUAUCAUUUGGACUGGACCAAUUUUUCACGAUUUGCGAAUUUUUGCAUAUAUUAUAUUUUUGCGGGAGUGUCUUUUAUUCCUCAGUUUCAAGGGAAUCCCAUUUGUAAAACGCAAUGGAAUACGCUGCGCUAUACAUGUAAAAUAUGUAUACUAUAUGUAAUUGUUGCUUCUGUCUACAACCAUAAUCUCCUAUAUUUUCUAAUGUGAUAUAGGGACCUCUGCUGUGCUAUACCCCCCCCCCCCCAAUAAAAUGGAUAUCCUUAAAAUCUGGACCGCUGGUGUGCCUUGAGAUUUGCGUUUGGGAACCACUGACGUAAUCCAUACCUCCCACCACUGGAUUACGCAACCAAUCUUCACCAACAACGGAUAGAGUUAAAUGUUUAUGAAAACGUCACAGGGGGAUAAGUCACGUGACCUGGGGCCUGAUCCGGAGUUGGUGAUAACGUAAAGCUGGUACACACUGGCCGAUAUAUGGCUGUUCAAUCAAAUGGCGGAUAUGUUGUGAGCCCGACAGCGGCAGAUGCAUAAUAGGUUAUGUUCUUGCCUUAUUGGAAUUACAGAUACACCCGUGAGAUCCAGUAUUUCCCUUCUUGUCGGUAGCUGGAACAUUUCUGCACCCUGCAACAUUAGAUGUGGUCUCCGAGUCCCUGGGAAACUGUCUCCUGACACGUGCAAAAUGCAAUAUGAAGAUAACCAGGGUUCUGUUUAAUAUGUCUAGGAUUCAGAACCAAGGCGCCAUGCCAACAGAAACAUGGCUGUGAUCAUCAUUUAUGAAGCUAUGACUUUAAUAACAGAGUUAUUGUCAUAUUUCGGUUGCAGUACUUUCAUAGUAUUGUUAUAGAUUGAUCUUCAACAAAUCUUCAAUACAGAACAAUGCCGCCUGAAGGCAAAGCUAUCACACAAAAUGGCCGCCAAAAGACUAACGCUGCUUCUCACCUGUAACAUGGCACCUAGGAGCUGAUUGGCUGUUACUUUAUCUCUUGCCAAGGUUAAGUAUGUAGACAGCGUUGACAGUUAGGAGCUGAUUGGCUGUUACUUUAUCUCUCUCCACAGCUUAGUUAAUAGACCGGGAUCCUGACCGAAGGUCUGCAGGUACUCCACAGAGGUAAGCCGCGUCGGGAUGCCGCUUUCGGUAUUCUGACUGCCGGGAACCCAAUAUCAUCCCUAUUCAAAGUGUAGUCAGGAACAGAAAUAGAACAAUAAAAACGGUAAGAAAAGAUUUAUAUUUCUGUUCCUGAUGACGGUUUGAAUAAACCGAAACGUAGAAGCUGCGUACACGGUAGCAUUUGCUUUUUAUGGUCCGUGAGUGACGCCAACCAUGGAAAAAACAGACAUCCAACUGACUUUUCAAACAAUUGAAUACCCCCCAUAGAGAGAUUGAGAAAGAGAGAGAUCAUAUAUAGAUCAUAUACAUGUAGAUGGCUCACAGCCCACAGGAAACAAUUAGCCUUUGUUUCCUAGUGAUACAUUUCAUGUCAUGUAAUUCUCUGUAACUAUGUAGAGCAUAAUGUAAUUACGGCUCUAUAAUAUAUAUAUAAUACAGGACCGCUGGGAUUCUGCUGGAUGGAAUAUACUGAGCUGGUUUAUACUGUAACAACACGAGGCUUGCGUGCAGCAUUCAGUGUGAUACGUACGUUGUAUUCGUGUAUAUAAUUGUUAUAUGCUUUUCAUUCAGGUUUAUAAAUUAUUAGGGAUUUGCUGUUCUACCGAUGUAUGAAAUAACAUGCGCCCAAGUGUUUCCUUAAGACGAUUGUGGCCAGUGUAGCGCUUAAUAUAACCUUUUAUCUUGCUGGAUUGUUAUAGGGGGGAUAAAGACCUUCCCCGGCCCCCAUACCCCAAAUAUGCCUAUUACACCUGAAUGGUGUAUACAGCUUAGAUCUUACAUACAAUUGGUGGUGGCAGGAUCUGCCAGAAUAUCUAUACCGGCAUUAUCUGUAUGCCCAGGCAAUAUUUUAUUGGCACCAGAGUGAUGUGGGAUGAAUAUUAAUGAUCUAGGUCAGGCUUGUCUAGGGGUCCAGGUGGGCUUGUGACUGACGGACGAUGGUUUUGCCAUCGAUGGCAGAGAUUCAAUAGUUCUCCGCUAUCGUUGACAGAGAUGGGCCAGAGCUUUUUUCCCAACCCGCAGCGCUUAGUCAAACCGCACCAUCACUAUUACAGGAUUAGCCAGCUGCCAUAUUGUGACCCUCAGCAGCGAUGUCCAUUGGUAGAUUAAUCUAUCGAUGGUUUACGGUUACUGAUGAAAAACUUCAAUGGCACAAUCCAUAUAGACCAUCAAUGGUAGACCUGCCAAUUGCCAUCCCUACUGCAAAGGCACGGUCCAGUCAAUUAGCAAUGCCACCCGCCUCAUCACACGCAUAGCCGUCUCACACUGCAUUACAUCCGGCCCAAUGUAUUUUUAGUACGUGUUUUAAUGAGCGGGCAUGGCCACACCCUCAUGUUUGGCCACACCCACAUCUAGCACCCAAGCCCACGACAUGUCUUGGCGGCACUACUUGGCACAGGCCACUAGCAAAAUUGUGCUGUCUGCAUAUUCACAGGUAUGAAGCCAAGCAUUCAAGUCUACAUAUGUUAUUAAAUAUGCAUUGGCACACUUUGUCCAACUUUAUUUUUAUUUGUUCUAACAAUCUGUGAGUUGAUGAAUUGCACUAUUUUGUUUAACAAACGGAUUUAUUUAUUUCAUAUUGUUAUUGUAAACUUGAUGUUUUUGGUAUAUUUUACACAAAUGUUUCCCCCUUCCAGACUGGCAAUUUAGGCCACGUCCCAAUCGGACAGGCCACGCCCAGAUCCACGAAGAGUCUUCCCAUUUCCAAGCAUGGGCGUUAAGUUUCCCGGUGCAGGCGAGAUCUAGCGGCUCCUCCUCCUGCAUUUGCAUGUGGACGAUACAGAAUUGGAAGUGGCUGUGCAAUUCCACCCAAACUUGAAUCCGGCCCAUUGUAGGGUAAAUGACCAUAGAGGACUAUCAGGGUCAAAUCGUAUCCAAACGCGAGACUUAAAUCAGUAUCCAACCAAACCUGAGGCAGGUCUGCAGAUCACCCAGCCGCAGUGAGGACUAAACUGCUGCAGCCUCGUCUUGCACUCGCCCCAGCGACGUCCAAAUAUGCACAUGAUAUGUUAAUGCAGCAACAGAAAUCGUGGAAUCUGCGGGGGGAGUGAGGCUCAGAAAAGACUUGGAGGGCCGCCUAUGGACAGCCGUCGUGUGCACAAUGAAUAUAUCACCCUGUACUUAUGGCAGUUCUCAGAGUGUGCUGAGAUGUUCCUGCGUUGGCAGGUUACAUUAGAUGGAAUGAUGAACGCCCUAAUUCCCAUGAUUUGGUCUGAACGUUACAUCUCCGACUUGUGUGAAACAUCCUUUGUGAUUUAGCUCCCAGGGAUGGAAGUUCUCUCGUAUUCUGUAAGCGUGCCAAUAACUUUCUCCAACGCAAAGCCAAGAACUAAUGUUUCUAAAUUAUAUCCCACAGGCUUUUAUUUCACCCCGUACACAGGCGGAAUGUACAGGCAUCUGGGAGGUAGGAUGGUUCAAUGUUUGGGGACAAUUAUAAACACUGCAUUACCCAGGUACCCCCAUAAGGCUCUCUGUGCCUAGACCAGGGGCAAAUGCAGGAUUUCUAGAGGGGGGUUUCCAAAUGCAAUCCACAAUCUCCCGCUCUGCGGAACACUGGAGCAAGUGCGGAAGUCUGGGGGAGAAGUAGAAGAACCUUGGGGUGAUUCCGAGUUGUUCGCUCGCUAGCUGCUUUUAGCAGCAUUGCACACGCAAAGCCGCCGCCCUCUGGGAGUGUAUCUUAGCUUAGCAGAAGUGCGACCGAAAGAUUAGCAGAAUUGCGAAUAGAAAUUUUUUAGCAGUUUCUGAGUAGCUCCAGACUUACUCAGCCAUUGCGACCAGCUCAGUCCUUUUCGUUCCUGGUUUGACGUCACAAACACACCCAGCGUUCGCCCAGACACUCCCCUGUUUCUCCAGCCACUCCUGCGUUUUGCAACUCGAACGCCUGCGUUUUUCCGCACACUCCCAUAAGACGGGCAGUUUCCGCCCAGAAACACCCACUUCCUGUCAAUCACACACCGAUCAGCACAGCGAUGAAAAAGCUUCGUUAUGCCGUGAGUAAAAUACCUAACUUGUGUAAAAUAACUAAGCGCAUGCACUCUGCGAACCUUGCGCAUGCGCAGUAAGCGACUAAUCGCAGUAUAGCGAAAAUCGGCAACAAGCGAACAACUCGGAAUGACCCCCCUAGUACCGAUGCUAGACAUAUAUGUAAACAUUGGUCUUUUUAUACACUGGAUACUGUAUGGAAUAUAGUAUAAUAUUUAAAACUAUAGAUGGUUUAUAGAUGUAUAUGCUGUAUCAAACAUAUUUAACUAAUAUAAAUAAAAUACGUGGUCAGGAAAAGGUUAAACAUCUCAUAAAAAAUACAAAAACACACUAAAACCAGUACUUUACUUUCUAAGCACACAUUCUCCCACCUCAUGGUAAGGCUCCUGUCUCUUCUUUCUGGCAGGUACUCUCUAGUCCAGUGCACUGAUUAAGGACUCGGUUCCACACACAGAGCAAACUUGGUAGAAGGUGCUAACACUGGGCAUGCGCAGCAGCUCUAG